UACGUAGGGGGCGAGCGUUGUCCGGAAUUAUUGGGCGUAAAGAGCGUGUAGGCGGUUCGGUAAGUCUGUCGUGAAAUCCUGGGGCUCAACCUCGGGCGUGCGAUGGAUACUGCCGGGCUAGAGGGUGGUAGAGGCGAGUGGAAUUCCCGGUGUAGCGGUGAAAUGCGUAGAUAUCUGGAGGAAUACCGGUGGCGAAGGCGGCAUCCUGGACCGAGAUUGACACUGAGGAGCGAAAGCCAGGGGAGCAAACGGG
rnacentral:rRNA from 1 species